rnacentral:piRNA from 1 species
UGGGUAUCAUAGUUGAAGUCCUUCCUCAA